UACGGGGGGGGGUAAGCGUUGUUCGGAAUUACUGGGCGUAAAAGGCUCGUAGGCGGCCAACUAAGUCAGACGUGAAAUCCCUCAGCUUAACUGGGGAACUGCGUCUGAUACUGGAUGGCUUGGAUCCGGAAGAGGGAUGCGGAAUUCCAGGUGUAGCGGUGAAAUGCGUAGAUAUCUGGAGGAACACCGGUGGCGAAGGCGGCAUCCUGGGCCGGUAUUGACGCUGAGGAGCGAAAGCCAGGGGAGCAAACGGG
rnacentral:rRNA from 1 species